AUUGAACAAAACUGAAUUGAAUUUCACUUUUUGGUUUUAAUUUUGCCCGUGUCAGUUUUUAAGAUCUGCAAUUUCCAGAGCCAAAAGUGAGUUCCAGGUGCAUUUUUUUCUUUGCUUGUUUCAGGAAAUGAUCAUUUUGUUUAAAAUCCUUUUCCUCUUUACAGACCAAAGCCAGCAAAGCAAACGAAAGCCAAAAACCAAAACUAGUGACCAUGAAAAAAUGAGGGAUCAUGUGGAUUUGAAGAGGGAGAAAGCCAUGGAGGAUAAAGGUUUCUGUGCUGUGCCACAGGGGGAUUUCAGUGCAGAAGGAAAAUCCCUGGGGCUGGAGGGCGAUGGAGCCUCACUGGCCAGGGACAAACCCAUUAUAUUGCCCCUGCUGAGAGCCUUGAAUACUCCAGAAUUCACGGUAAACUCUCCGAAAUAAAUUGCUUUUUAUCCCAGAAAUUCAAAUUCAUGCAUUCAGCACCUUCCUUCCCCCAAAACAAUCCUGAUUAUUGUGUGGCAGAACAACCCAACAACACCGGGUAAAAGGAAUUUGAAGGUGCAAUGUGAGAAAGAAAGAAAAAAAAAAGCCAAAAUAUUCUUAUUUAUUAAAA
rnacentral:lncRNA from 1 species